rnacentral:rRNA from 1 species
AUACAUGCAAGUCGAACGCGUCUCCGUUAAUGAUUUUAGGUGCUUGCACUUGAAAGAUUUAACAUUGAGACGAGUGGCGAACUGGUGAGUAACACGUGGGUAACCUGCCCUUGAAGUAGGGGAUAACACUUGGAAACAGGUGCUAAUACCGUAUAACAACCAAAACCACCUGGUUUUGGUUUAAAAGACGGCUUCGGCUGUCACUUUAGGAUGGACCCGCGGCGUAUUAGCUUGUUGGUAAGGUAACGGCCUACCAAGGCGAUGAUACGUAGCCGACCUGAGAGGGUAAUCGGCCACAUUGGGACUGAGACACGGCCCAAACUCCUACGGGAGGCAGCAGUAGGGAAUCUUCCACAAUGGACGAAAGUCUGAUGGAGCAACGCCGCGUGAGUGAUGAAGGGUUUCGGCUCGUAAAACUCUGUUGUUGGAGAAGAACAGGUGUCAGAGUAACUGUUGACAUCUUGACGGUAUCCAACCAGAAAGCCACGGCUAACUACGUGCCAGCAGCCGCGGUAAUACGUAGGUGGCAAGCGUUGUCCGGAUUUAUUGGGCGUAAAGCGAGCGCAGGCGGUUUUUUAGGUCUGAUGUGAAAGCCUUCGGCUUAACCGGAGAAGUGCAUCGGAAACCGGGAGACUUGAGUGCAGAAGAGGACAGUGGAACUCCAUGUGUAGCGGUGAAAUGCGUAGAUAUAUGGAAGAACACCAGUGGCGAAGGCGGCUGUCUGGUCUGUAACUGACGCUGAGGCUCGAAAGCAUGGGUAGCGAACAGGAUU